rnacentral:rRNA from 1 species
UACGUAGGUGGCGAGCGUCGUCCGGAUUUACUGGGCGUAAAGAGCGCGCAGGCGGUCGUGUAAGUCGAAUGUGAAAGCCCCCGGCUCAACUGGGGAGGGUCAUUCGAUACUGCUCGACUCGAAGGCAGGAGAGGGAAGCGGAAUUCCCGGUGUAGUGGUGAAAUUCGUAGAUAUUGGGAAGAACACCGGUGGCGAAGGCGGCUCUCUGGACCGAGACUGACGCUGAGGCGCGAAAGCGUGGGGAGCAAACAGG